AUGAACGCUGGCGGCGUGCCUAAUACCUGCCAGUCGCGCGAACAGACGAGGAGCUUGCUCCUCUGACGUUAGCGGCGGACGGGUGAGUAACACGUGGAUAACCUACCUAUAAGACUGGGAUAACUUCGGGAAACCGGAGCUAAUACCGGAUACUAUAUUGAACCGCAUGGUUCAAUAGUGAAAGCCGGUUUUGCUGUCACUUAUAGAUGGAUCCGCGCCGCAUUAGCUAGUUGGUAAGGUAACGGCGUACCAAGGCAACGAUGCGUAGCCGACCUGAGAGGGUGAUCGGCCACACUGGAACUGAGACACGGUCCAGACUCCUACGGGAGGCAGCAGUAGGGAAUCUUCCGCAAUGGGCGAAAGCCUGACGGAGCAACGCCGCGUGAGUGAUGAAGGUCUUCGGAUCGUAAAACUCUGUUAUUAGGGAAGAACAAAUGUGUAAGUAACUAUGCACGUCUUGACGGUACCUAAUCAGAAAGCCACGGCUAACUACGUG
rnacentral:rRNA from 1 species